rnacentral:misc_RNA from 1 species
GUUCACAUGAGACAUUUGGUAGAUCUCCAACCUUGUUGAAUAGGAUUUUAACAUCCAGGGGCAUUCGUAGAGAACAAAUUUCACUGCCCCCUCAUGAUGAUGUAGGAGAUUUAGCACACACUGAUGUGUCUAGCGUUGAGGCAGGGGAAACCCGUCUUCAAUCUCUCCCAGUGCUUCGAUCAUUACUACACCGGACAAGAGUUUCUUCUCUCACUUCUGCAUUUAAUUCUGCUGAUAGGCUUCCAGAUGGUUUUUUGUAUACUGAUCCUCUCAUUCCUAGAAGUCAAGAGCAGCCUCCUCCACCUGUUGAGGAUAGAGAUUCGUUCUCUAGCAUUGCUGCUGUUAUCAAUUCAGAGAGUCAAAUGGACACUGCUGUAGAAAUUGAUUCCAUGGUCUCUAUUUCAACAUCAUCCUCCAGAAGGAGAAAUGAUACUUUACAAGUUUCUGAUGUAGACAGUGGAAACUCUCGAGCACCAAGAAGGAGAAGAUUGGCUUGAAAAAGACCUCUAUCUGGGUCUCAUAAGGUUGAUCAAUGAAU